GGUCCGUUAGCUCAACUGGAUAGAGCAGCUGACUUCUAAUCAGCAGGUUGAGGGUUCGAGUCCUUCACGGAUCGCCA
rnacentral:tRNA from 2 species